rnacentral:tRNA from 1 species
AGGGCUAUAGCUCAGUUGGUAGAGCAACUCGUUUACGAAGGUCUACGGUUCGAGUCCGUAUAGCCCUA